CUGAAAUCGUAUGAGGCCAUAUUAACGUAAUACAUAUGAUUACAGGUAUAUAAAGUGCAAAAAAAAGAAAAAAAACAGACAUACUGCCCCUUCCCAAGGAGCUUACAUAGGAGAUAAAGGCAGGUAGGGAAAAAUUAUUGGCAAUUCAGUGCAACAGGUGCACUGAUAAAGUAACAUCAAGGUGGCUUAGCUCCUCAAAAAGGUGCAUGACCCGAUCUAGAUCACAAAGGGCUCCCCUGAAGCAGUGACAGCUAAGCUGAACUCUGAAGUUCCCACGAAGAAGUGGGGACAAGAAGCAGGGGGCCAGUCAGCAAAGUUGAGGUGCUCAGUUCAAAGUGCAUAUCAAAGAUGAGCCUGGACAGGGAUCAGGAGGAACCUGAGAGGUCGUGAAGGUCCUUGUAAGCUGUCUUGAGCCAUCUCACCUCCCUCCUGAGCCUCUCACUGGGGCACAUGGUGUGUCGGAGCCCCAGAUGUGAGGGUGAGAACUAUACCGGGGAAGCAGCGUCUUCAUCUCCAGUGAGCUCAUCUCACUGUCUCCCUUCUCCAACAAGACACCGACUGCUCAGAGACACACAGAAUUGCGUGGAAGUGACUGAGACAGCCUCUCUGGAGGUUGGGUCAUCAGUUGGAAUUCUUCUCUCCAGUUGGGCCUUUGGGCCACCCCCAUGACAUCUUCAUUCUUUCUUUCCUGCUGGCCCAAGCUGCUCUCUGCUGGUGGUCAAGAUGAUUCAGAAACACUUUCUUUGUUUUGACGUGCUCAGAACAUCAUCUAUUUGAAGUCUGGCUCCACUAGAGUUUUUAUCUCCAAAGCAAGAAAAAUAUGGUAAUUUUAAAUAAAUAAGCCACC
rnacentral:lncRNA from 10 species